rnacentral:rRNA from 1 species
CGCUAGCUACAGGCUUAACACAUGCAAGUCGAGGGGCAGCAUCAUCAAAGCUUGCUUUGAUGGAUGGCGACCGGCGCACGGGUGAGUAACACGUAUCCAACCUGCCGACAACACUGGGAUAGCCUUUCGAAAGAAAGAUUAAUACCGGAUGGCAUAGUUUUCCCGCAUGGGAUAAUUAUUAAAGAAUUUCGGUUGUCGAUGGGGAUGCGUUCCAUUAGGCAGUUGGCGGGGUAACGGCCCACCAAACCUACGAUGGAUAGGGGUUCUGAGAGGAAGGUCCCCCACAUUGGAACUGAGACACGGUCCAAACUCCUACGGGAGGCAGCAGUGAGGAAUAUUGGUCAAUGGACGAGAGUCUGAACCAGCCAAGUAGCGUGAAGGAUGACUACCCUAUGGGUUGUAAACUUCUUUUAUACGGGAAUAAAGUGAGCCACGUGUGGCUUUUUGUAUGUACCGUAUGAAUAAGGAUCGGCUAACUCCGUGCCAGCAGCCGCGGUAAUACGGAGGAUUCGAGCGUUAUCCGGAUUUAUUGGGUUUAAAGGGAGCGUAGGCGGGUUGUUAAGUCAGUUGUGAAAGUUUGCGGCUCAACCGUAAAAUUGCAGUUGAUACUGGCGACCUUGAGUGCAACAGAGGUAGGCGGAAUUCGUGGUGUAGCGGUGAAAUGCUUAGAUAUCACGAAGAACUCCGAUUGCGAAGGCAGCUUACUGGAUUGUAACUGACGCUGAUGCUCGAAAGUGUGGGUAUCAAACAGGAUUAGAUACCCUGGUAGUCCACACAGUAAACGAUGAAUACUCGCUGUUGGCGAUAUACAGUCAGCGGCCAAGCGAAAGCAUUAAGUAUUCCACCUGGGGAGUACGCCGGCAACGGUGAAACUCAAAGGAAUUGACGGGGGCCCGCACAAGCGGAGGAACAUGUGGUUUAAUUCGAUGAUACGCGAGGAACCUUACCCGGGCUUAAAUUGCAACUGACGGAACCGGAAACGGUUCUUUCUUCGGACAGUUGUGAAGGUGCUGCAUGGUUGUCGUCAGCUCGUGCCGUGAGGUGUCGGCUUAAGUGCCAUAACGAGCGCAACCCUUACGGGUAGUUACCAUCAGGUUAUGCUGGGGACUCUACCCGGACUGCCGUCGUAAGAUGUGAGGAAGGUGGGGAUGACGUCAAAUCAGCACGGCCCUUACGUCCGGGGCUACACACGUGUUACAAUGGGGGGUACAGAAGGCAGCUACACGGCGACGUGGUGCUAAUCCCAAAAGCCUCUCUCAGUUCGGAUUGGAGUCUGCAACCCGACUCCAUGAAGCUGGAUUCGCUAGUAAUCGCGCAUCAGCCACGGCGCGGUGAAUACGUUCCCGGGCCUUGUACACACCGCCCGUCAAGCCAUGAAAGCCGGGGGUACCAGAAGUACGUAACCGCGAGGAGCGUCCUAGGGUAAAACUGGUAA